ACUAAUUGAAGUUAUCUCUCUCCCUAGCUACUUCCUAACACAUGAGAGAUUAUAUGUUGAGAUAUUAUCCUUUAGGCCAAUAAUGGAGUCCCAUGGCCUGAGAUAUUAUCUGUGUAAUGAAGUUAUUCUGCUUUAACCCAUUAAUAUUAUCCGUUAUAGUUUGACCCAUGUGUUAUAAAUUAAAUGUUAGGUAUUGAGAUAUUAUUAAACAUUUAAUCAAUGUAGUAUAUCAUAACAUUUAAUCAAUUAAAACUAAAUGUUGUCUGCUAUGAUACCAUGUGAAGUUAUUUGGGACCAAUUCAUUUAAAGGCUUAAUUGUUUUAGAGAGAGGUAAUUUUAUUUAGCCUUUCUGCACAUCCCCCUUUAUUUUUAGUGAUUUGUUGUGCCUUUGGGUUGAAUACCUGCGUUGUGUUGACAAUAUUACUCAUUUAUUUAUCGAGAUUUCUUGGGUGCGUGACAUGAUAUGGAUUCUUCUUUGUUUAGUCGCUAAUGGGUUGAGAUUAAUUUUAUGGGUUUUAGAGUCCUUUGCUGUAGUAUCGUCGCUCUGAUGAUGCAGUGUCAAUGUAUCAUUUGAAGAAGAUGAACUGGUCACUUGGGGUUGUAAAUUAAAUUAUAACUUGACAGAGCAGGAUGGAAAAAACGAAAUCGAUUCACGUAGCCAAUCCCAAUUGAUUGUAACAUAAGGCUUAGUUUGGUUUGAUUAGGUUUCUGGGUAGAUGAUUAAUUUGUCUAAGCGAAGAUAAUUAUUGCUCAUGUUUAUCUGCUUUACUCUUGACUUUUAGUCUAAAAUUCUAUACUUUUUUUUUAAUCAAUGUUAAUUUUUUUUUUUUUUGGGGAGGGGGGGAAUGGUGCCAAAUCAAAUGGUGGAUUUUGCCAGGUGCAUUAGGCUGUUGUACCUUGCUUUGCUUCAGAAAAAGCAAGCAUUGCCUGUCCGCAGGAGUUGUGAAAAUAUCCUAAUUGGAGAUGGAGGGUCAAAAUAAUAUGACUGUGAGUUCACUGAAUGCUCUUCAGCAGAGAAAUGUCAACUUCAAAUGCUAGCGGCAGUACCUCAGAUCAUUUGAAGAACAAAGUGUAAAUGGACAACAUACCAACCGUCACCGAACAACUUCGAAGUAUGGGUGAACACUUGCAAUUUCAAAGCGAACAACUUCAAAUUCAAAGCACGCAGAUGCAAAAAUUUCAGACAGACUUAAGUCGAAGUUGGUGUUGCAUUUAUGAGAUCUUUUGCUUCCUUGUAAUUAUUGUUGUAUUAGUUACGAAUAUGUAAUAAUUUAAAUAACAGUUAGAAGUUGAAAUAGAUGAUAUGUAUGAAAAUUUAUGAUAUAUGACAGUUAUUUUGGAGGAGUAUAAACAUGUAAUCUGUUAUCUGUUUGUUUGUUUGUUUGAAGAAUGUUUGAACACAGGUUGUUAAAAUUAUGUUUGUUUGUUGGAGGAAUGCUUGAACACGGGUUGUUAUA